GACGAACGCUGGCGGCGUGCCUAAUACAUGCAAGUAGAACGCUGAAGGAGGAGCUUGCUUCUCUGGAUGAGUUGCGAACGGGUGAGUAACGCGUAGGUAACCUGCCUGGUAGCGGGGGAUAACUAUUGGAAACGAUAGCUAAUACCGCAUAACAGUAGAUGUUGCAUGACAUUUGCUUAAAAGGUGCAAUUGCAUCACUACCAGAUGGACCUGCGUUGUAUUAGCUAGUUGGUGGGGUAACGGCUCACCAAGGCGACGAUACAUAGCCGACCUGAGAGGGUGAUCGGCCACACUGGGACUGAGACACGGCCCAGACUCCUACGGGAGGCAGCAGUAGGGAAUCUUCGGCAAUGGACGAAAGUCUGACCGAGCAACGCCGCGUGAGUGAAGAAGGUUUUCGGAUCGUAAAGCUCUGUUGUAAGAGAAGAACGAGUGUGAGAGUGGAAAGUUCACACUGUGACGGUAUCUUACCAGA
rnacentral:rRNA from 1 species